AACCGAGAACUCCUACGGGAGGCAGCAGUGGGGAAUUUUGGACAAUGGUGGUAACCCUGAUCCAGCAAUGCCGCGUGAGUGAAGAAGGACUUCGGGUUGUAAAGCUCUUUUUUCAGGGAAGAAACGGUAGUAGCUAAUAACUAUUACUAAUGAUAGUACCAGAAGAAUAAGCACCGGCUAACUACGUGCCAGCAGCCGCGGUAAUAAGUAGGGUGCAAGCGUUAAUCGGAAUUACUGGGCGUAAAGCGUGCGCAGGCGGUUGUGUAAGUCAGAUGUGAAAUCCCCGGGCCCAACCUGGGAAUUGCAUUUGAGACUGCACGGCUAGAGUGUGUCAGAGGGGGGUAGAAUUCCACGUGUAGCAGUGAAAUGCGUAGAUAUGUGGAGGAAUACCGAUGGCGAAGGCAGCCCCCUGGGAUAACACUGACGCUCAUGCACGAAAGCGUGGGGAGCAAACAGGAUUAGAUACCCGUGUAGUCCGACUGAGA
rnacentral:rRNA from 1 species